CUUUUGCGCUGACGGAAGGUUUUCCUCGUUUGGUUUUUGUAGUAAAUCUUACUGCUGCUCAGUGUUUGCGUCUGUGCUGCGUUUGUGAGCUGCAACGCUCACGGUAAAGGUCUACAGCUUCACUCCUGAAGCCAGCGAGACUGUAAAUCCACUGGGAGGGGCAGAGAACUCUGGACAUGCUGCAUUUUAAGGAGCUGUGACACUCACCGCGGAGGUUUGCAGUUUCACUCCUGAAAUCAGUGAGACCACGAACGCACCAGAAGGAACAAACUCCAGACACACCGUUUUUAGGAACCGUAACAUGUACCGCGAGGGUCUGCGGCUUCAUUCCUGAAGACGAGACUAAGAACCCACCAACUUUUGGACACAAAACCACCCCAAAAUACUUUAUGUUCUAUUCCGUUGGUCUGCCUAUCUAAAAAGCAAAAUUUCAAAUACUGACACCGAUAGAUGAAGAUGCUUUCGCUUCUUCCCUGUUUCAUCCAGUUGGGGGCUAAGUGUCCUUCGGUUUGGACUGUGCAGCUCGGGUCACCUUCUCUCUGUGGAACAGCAAGUGAAGAAAGAGGCGCAGAGCCCUGUGUUCCAAACCAUGGAGACAAUUGAGAAAGUGGGAACCCAUUAUUCCCCAAGCCCAGCCAGCAAACCUCACCGAUGAAACAGAUAAGCACUUCCUGCAGGUAGGGCUGACACUGGCCAGGACACAGCCCUCUCUCUCACAGCCGUGUUCCAGGUUGUUUGUGCACAAAAUUUCACAAAGGUCAGAGCUCGUCUCUCCAAACAGAUGAGCUUUGCGGUUAACCUGAAUUCACUGAACUAGGAUUUAUUAUUAUUAUUCUAUUUUACCUCUAACAGAAGUUUAAGGUCCGUGUAAGUUUCGUUCCUCUCUCUGAUUGUAGGGGAGACGCCCAGAGCGCCGUUUGGAGGAAAGAACCUGGCGUCCUUUCCUUACCUUCAUUUCAGGUACCCAGCUCCUAGCAAAUGUGUCUUCCUCCCGGGUUCUUUGGGGUAAAGAAUUUGGUGAGAAGGAGCUGAAUGUUACGGCUGCGCUUCUCAGACACCUGCUCGGAGCCAAGCAUCCUCUCACCCUUUCCUUCAACUGGUAGCCAGAAAAUACGGGUUGAGCAUCAGGGAUUCUCAACCGCGUCAAGCUCCAGCCCGGCCUGUUGUGACAGACAUUUCCUGAUGCCUGUUGCUCUCUGGAAUGAAGGUCAUGGGCAGUAUUACCCACACAGCCAUUCAAAAUCAAUCGGCUUCGUGAUCUGUUUUGAAAGGAUGGCGAUUGCCGUGCCAGCACGUGACAUGGACUCGGAUGCCUGCGCACCCAGGUGCACCUUCCAGAAGGUGAGGUCAGCCCAAGCGCCCAUCGCCAUGUGAGUGCGCUGCUGCACAGCGACCAGUUGCUGGAAUGUUCUGAACAGAGCACAGUGCCACCCACUUUGAUGUGCGCUAUUGUUA
rnacentral:lncRNA from 1 species